UACAUAGGGGGCAAGCGUUAUCCGGAAUUAUUGGGCGUAAAGGGUGAGUAGGCGGCUACUUAAGUCUGAGGUAUAAGCACAGUGCUCAACGCUGUGAGGCUUUGGAAACUAAGUGGCUAGAGUUAGAUAGAGGCAAGUGGAAUUCCAUGUGUAGCGGUAAAAUGCGUAAAUAUAUGGAGGAACACCAGUGGCGAAGGCGGCUUGCUGGGUCUAUACUGACGCUGAGGCACGAAAGCGUGGGGAGCAAACAGG
rnacentral:rRNA from 1 species